rnacentral:rRNA from 1 species
UACGGAGGGUGCAAGCGUUAUCCGGAUUUACUGGGUUUAAAGGGUGUGUAGGCGGGCAUUUAAGUCUGGGGUGAAAUCUCCGAGCUCAACUCGGAAACUGCCUUGGAUACUAUUUGUCUUGAAUUAUGUUGAGGUUGGCGGAAUAUAACAUGUAGCGGUGAAAUGCAUAGAUAUGUUAUAGAACACCGAUUGCGAAGGCAGCUAAUUAAGCAUAUAUUGACGCUGAGGCACGAAAGCGUGGGGAUCAAACAGG